GACGAACGCUGGCGGCGUGCCUAAUACAUGCAAGUCGAACGCUGAAGGAGGAGCUUGCUUCUCUGGAUGAGUUGCGAACGGGUGAGUAACGCGUAGGUAACCUGCCUGGUAGCGGGGGAUAACUAUUGGAAACGAUAGCUAAUACCGCAUAAGAGUAGAUGUCGCAUGACAUUUGCUUAAAAGGUGCAAUUGCAUCACUACCAGAUGGACCUGCGUUGUAUUAGCUAGUUGGUGAGGUAACGGCUCACCAAGGCAACGAUACAUAGCCGACCUGAGAGGGGGAUCGGCCACACUGGGACUGAGACACGGCCCAGACUCCUACGGGAGGCAGCAGUAGGGAAUCUUCGGCAAUGGACGGAAGUCUGACCGAGCAACGCCGCGUGAGUGAAGAAGGGUGUCGGAUCGUAAAGCUCUGUUGUAAGAGAAGAACGAGUGUGAGAGUGGAAAGUUCACACUGUGACGGUAGCUGACCAGAAAGGGACGGCUAACUACGUG
rnacentral:rRNA from 1 species